AUGUUAGUGGUAUAGUGGUGAACAUAGCUGCCUUCCAAGCAGUUAACCCAGGUUUGUUUGCUGGUCAACACA
rnacentral:tRNA from 1 species